GACUUGGAUAUGACUUAGGAGAAAACCCGCGAUUCUACCAUGUCACAUGCUUAAACUACCUGAUUUAACUCUAGGAGCUGUGAUUUGUUUGUAUCACCGCAGUAUCCGAGCGGUGGAUACCCAAGGUAGUUUAGAAUGUAUUUACGCUCGUGCUGAGGUGUGAAGUGUAUUUUUACAGUAGUGUUUAGGCUGUUCUGGAUUGUCAGGUGCCGUUGGGGUUGACGUUAGGCCUAGAUUGUUGUUGUUGCAUCUGAUUGUGCCAAGGGCACAUGAGUUCAGUUGUUAGACCCUAUCUACUUGACUAUAGCCUGUGAGAGCCUGAUUGAGCUCGACAGAGAUACGCUUGCAUACUCGGUUGGGUAGCGCCCACG
rnacentral:lncRNA from 1 species